CAUAGAACUCAGCGUGCCUUACCGGCCGUGUCCAGUCCCUGCUACCGCAUGGGAGACAUCACCAACAUUUUCUUCAGUUACAUGCUGGUUGUUUGCAACAUGAUCACCUUGUCAGGAUCAACAUUGCCAUCACCUCUUCCACCUCUCGAGCACGCAACACCUCGUCAGUCUUUCACCGAAAGUUUCUGCUAAUAACUCUAGGGGCUACUAAUAACUCUAGGGGCUAGUUUGGAAGCCUAAAAUCCCGCUGGGAACCCGACCUUUUCCCGGGGCUGGAAGCCCGCGCGGAAAUUAACCCCGGGCUAAAUUACACGGCAAUUUGGGAGCCUAUCGGACGGGGGAGGUUGACCCGAACCCUGCGAUUUCCACGGGGCGGCUCCUCCCCACCUCGAGGGUCUGGGCAAGGAUUCCCGAGUGGCGUCGCGGGCGAUUCGUCGCGAUGAAAAGAAGGCGCCGCGCCGCCACCCCGCUUCCAUCCAGCGCCGUCGUACUGCCUCCGCCGCCCCGACUCCGUCGAGCGCCACCGCUCCAUCUCCGUCCCGGUGUCGCCGCUGCUCCGCCUCUUCCCCGACUCCGUCGAGCCCCACCGCUUCCCCGUCCAGGUGUCGCCGCGCCGACCUACAACGGGGCCUCCACCUCGGCCGGCUCCUCGCAGCUUGUGUUCCUCCUUGCUUAUGCAGAGUCCGUAUCAAUCAGGGCUUAUUAUCUUAUUCCUCUCUCCUAUGUGCAGACACAGAGGAAUUGAACUGAUCUUCCAUGUUUGUGCUAUGGCUUGUGGGUGUGAUGGGGGAUGUGUUGGGUGUUUGAUCUAAACUGCUGCUUGGGUUGGCAUCCUUGCAGUGCUGAAGGGAACUGGUUUGUGUCAGAAGUGGUCACAUGAACAUAUUAGUUUGUGUUAAUGUGGGAUUAAAAA